rnacentral:lncRNA from 1 species
UGAGCCAGCUCAGUGAGGCGGAGCGGCCAACCCUCCACUCCACCUCGCCUCCCCGCUGAAAAACCGAGGACCGCGCAGCGCAGCAGCUCCGCGCACGCUGAACACGAGGAGACACCGCCCACACGCCAGACGCGCUGUGAUUGGCUCCAGCUACCUCGGACCGAGAUUCCUAUUGGUCCCAGGUGCCGAGAAUGCGCACUUUGGACGUGGGCGCGUGUGUGGAAUGGGAGGAGGUCGCGCUGGCCGUGGGCGUCCCUGGCCUGCGCCGCCUAGAGAUGAUAAAUAGCCAAAGAUGUCAAUGGCACUCAUGGACAUAGUAAGCAUAGUAGGAGCUGAAACACUAGAAGCACUGACAAUGUCAACUAUUUUGAGCAAAAAGAAGCAGUGUCUUCGGAACAUUUGAUCAUAAAACCAGAAAUUAUGAGAAAAACAUUUUUCUGAAGCUUAUACUUUCGCAUUUCCUAGAGAGCAUAUUUGUAUGGAUGGGGGUGGGCAAACACUCAACAAAAGUUUCUUUAAAAAGAAGAAACCAUCCUGGUUUGAUGUUACAUAAUCAACAGUUGCCCACUGCUCCCUUCCUGUGCCUAUGACCGUUCCCAAACUGCCCUGUUGCUUGCAGGCUCGCCUGAGCUGAGAGGCAGCCCUAGCUCCCCAUUGGCACCUCCCUGGGGCCUUCUUUACACCCUGGAGAACUUCACAGGGAAUCUGUAUCUGUAACACAAAGGCUUCCUGGUGGUCCAGAUGUAGAUACUAAGGCUGACUGGAUAUUUAAGUCCUGCGGACUUACUCUGCCAAAAUUAUUUAAUCAUGUAAAAAUAAUUUAUAAUUCUUAUAAAGUAUCCCCUUCAUAAUAUAAUGAAUGUUGGGGUUAUUGCAUUUAGGUGCACAUGUACAGUAUACAAGAUUAUUAAUAAUAAUGUUUUCAAAUAGUUAUUAUAAAAGCUAUUUUUCUUAUGUUUAUGAAAGUGCUUAUAAAAUUCAUGUUUUAUGAGGCUGGAGAUGUAUAU